rnacentral:tRNA from 1 species
GGGAAUAGAUGGGUGCUGGUGUGCCCCCUGGUCUUCAAAACCUGUGUCGGCGGUUAGAAGCCGCCCGGGUGGGUUCGAUUCCCACAUAUUCCCGCCA